rnacentral:lncRNA from 12 species
ACACCAAAAAUGAUUGAUACAUUAAAAAUAUUGGAGUUAUCUCUUUUAUGCUUUCAGAUUUUAGGUGUGUGACAAGAAGGGAUGCUAAGGUAGCCUUGAGGCCCAGGUUUUGGCAGCAGAGUUUUGCAAAUGUCCAUGUAAACUCACAUGAAACACCAACAAACCCUGACAAGAUCUUGGAGAAGCCUGCAGCAACUGAUGACCAAACCCAGGGGUGCUUUGGACAGAAUCAGAGGGAGGUGCCAGCCUUGCCAGGGAGCACAGCAUGGCCCAGGUCAUGCUGCAGGCAUGGGGACAGGCUUUGGGACACCCCAGCGGUGACACCUUGAGCAUGGGACAGGGGCCCUGCAGCAGCCACAAGGCGUGGCCUGGAAUUCCUCAUCUGUACUUGUGCAGGUAAAUGCAAGGCUCCCCUUUCCAGGUG